rnacentral:rRNA from 1 species
AGGACGAACGCUGGCGGCGUGCUUAACACAUGCAAGUCGAGCGGUAAGGCCCUUUCGGGGGUACACGAGCGGCGAACGGGUGAGUAACACGUGGGUGACCUGCCCUUAGCUCUGGGAUAAGCCUGGGAAACUGGGUCUAAUACCGGAUAUGACCUCGCGAUGCAUGUCGUGGGGUGGAAAGCCUUGUGCGGCUAGGGAUGGGCCCGCGGCCUAUCAGCUUGUUGGUGGGGUGAUGGCCUACCAAGGCGACGACGGGUAGCCGGCCUGAGAGGGCGACCGGCCACACUGGGACUGAGACACGGCCCAGACUCCUACGGGAGGCAGCAGUGGGGAAUCUUGCGCAAUGGGCGAAAGCCUGACGCAGCGACGCCGCGUGAGGGAUGACGGCCUUCGGUUGUAAACCUCUUUCAGCCCUGACGAAGCGAAAGUGACGGUAGGGCGAGAAGAAGCACCGGCCAACUACGUGCCAGCAGCCGCGGUAA